AUUGAACGCUGGCGGCAGGCUUAACACAUGCAAGUCGAGCGGGGGAGGUUGCUUCGGUAACUGACCUAGCGGCGGACGGGUGAGUAAUGCUUAGGAAUCUGCCUAUUAGUGGGGGACAACAUUCCGAAAGGGAUGCUAAUACCGCAUACGCCCUACGGGGGAAAGCAGGGGAUCUUCGGACCUUGCGCUAAUAGAUGAGCCUAAGUCGGAUUAGCUAGUUGGUGGGGUAAAGGCCUACCAAGGCGACGAUCUGUAGCGGGUCUGAGAGGAAGAUCCGCCAGAGUGAGACCGAAAGACGGCCCAGACUCCUUCGGGAGGCAGCAGUGGGGAAUAUUGGACAAUGGGCGGAAGCCUGUACCAGCCAUGCCGCGUGUGUGAAGAAGGCCUUUUGGUUGUAAAGCACUUUAAGCGAGGAGGAGGCUCUUAAGGUUAAUACCCUUGAUGAGUGGACGUUACUCGCAGAAUAAGCACCGGCUAACUCUGUGCCAGCAGCCGCCGUAACAC
rnacentral:rRNA from 1 species